rnacentral:lncRNA from 1 species
AGACCCAGCAAUGAGUGAAACAGACACCAGCACCCCCAUUGAGGGAGCCAAUGAUCUGGUAGAAGAUAGAGACAUUCAAGGAAUAUAUCCCUUCCCAAGAGAAGACACGGCAGUGCAUGGGGUGGGGUGUGAAAAGGCUUAGCCCCAGCAAACUGGGGGCAGAGAGGAGCCGCAGAGCCUCAGAGAGGUUGGGGAGCUGGCAACUGGCCUGGUUUCCCAAGGAAACUACCCCACCAAGCAUCUUCACAUGGGCAUGUCUUUGUGUGUUCGUGUGUGUGCGUAUUUUAAAAUCCUAAAUCAGGACAGCAGACCUGAUAAAUAAUUUGUGAAUUGAUUGAUGUGUAAAGUCCUUUAAAAGCAUCCAAGUCAAAUCCGUUACAUAUUGAAUACAUUUCUUGAAAAGAAUGCAGCUAAAGUGACUCUGUCCUGGAAAUGUGAGGCCAGGGGUUCUUAAACAGGGGCAAUUUUGGACCCCAUGGGACAUCUGGCAAUGUUUGGAGACAUAUUUGGUUUUCACAACCUGUCACCAGCAUCUAGUGGGUAGAGGCCAGGGAUGCUGCUAACUAUCCUGCAAUGCACAGGGCAGCCCCCACAAUUUGGAGUUCUCAGGCCCCAAAUGUCAGUAGUGUCGAGUUUGGGAAACCUUGCUCUUGGCUCUCUGGGGCUGUGCCUGUGCACCCCAGGGUGUCAGCCCAGCCUUGGUUUUUCCCUCGUACUUCAUGUCUACUUUGGUCCUGUCUGUGACACUAUUGUCAGAGGGGAGAGGCUUGGAACCCCUCAGCUCUCUGCUGCUUCCUUUUUUGUUGGCAGAUGCAGGGAGAUGACUACCUUUGAAGAGGUGACCCAGAUACCAACGCAAGCCUGGCAAGGGGCAGGGGGUGUCUUGAGUAAGCAUCUCCCACUGGGGAGAUGAGAGCAGGGACCGCAUGCAGCAAGAGGGUGGGAAGGAGCACUGGAUUUAGAGGGACAGGCGCAGGCUCCAACUCUGUCUGACUCCGCCUCUAACCUGGCCAUUUAGCCUCUGUGCCUCAGAGGCAUUGUCCAUUGGGCACAGGUUCUAAACAGGGUUAUUGUGAGGGUUAGGGAGAGGAAGGAUGGGACAGGGUUGUGGAAAGCACUAGGGCCG